GUUUACAUUGAUGGAAAAUCACGACGAGUUGAUGGAGCUUAUUUGAGUGCAAUUGCUGAAAAUGUGAAUGACAAUUGAACUCCAACUACAUCUUUCUCAUGCACAUCAGCUCAUCCUGGAGGACCUUCUCAAACUAUGUUUUCUUUAGAGGAGGUUGAACAAAUAUUAGAGAAAAACCGGAUCAAAAUGAAACAAGACAUGGAGCAAAUGCAAGAGCAAAUGCGAGUGCAGAUAGAAAAACAAACAAAAGAUCAGAUGAAAUCAUUGAAGAACAAAAAUAGAUCUUCACCGCAUAA